rnacentral:rRNA from 1 species
GCUCACCAAGGCGACGAUGCGUAGCCGACCUGAGAGGGUGAUCGGCCACACUGGGACUGAGACACGGCCCAGACUCCUACGGGAGGCAGCAGUAGGGAAUCUUCCGCAAUGGACGAAAGUCUGACGGAGCAACGCCGCGUGAGUGAUGAAGGUUUUCGGAUCGUAAAGCUCUGUUGUUAGGGAAGAACAAGUACCGUUCGAAUAGGGCGGUACCUUGACGGUACCUAACCAGAAAGCCACGGCUAACUACGUGCCAGCAGCCGCGGUAAUACGUAGGUGGCAAGCGUUGUCCGGAAUUAUUGGGCGUAAAGGGCUCGCAGGCGGUUUCUUAAGUCUGAUGUGAAAGCCCCCGGCUCAACCGGGGAGGGUCAUUGGAAACUGGGGAACUUGAGUGCAGAAGAGGAGAGUGGAAUUCCACGUGUAGCGGUGAAAUGCGUAGAGAUGUGGAGGAACACCAGUGGCGAAGGCGACUCUCUGGUCUGUAACUGACGCUGAGGAGCGAAAGCGUGGGGAGCGAACAGGAUUAGAUACCCUGGUAGUCCACGCCGUAAACGAUGAGUGCUAAGUGUUAGGGGGUUUCCGCCCCUUAGUGCUGCAGCUAACGCAUAAGCACU